CAGCCGCCCGGUAAUACGAAGGGGGCUAGCGUUGCUCGGAAUUACUGGGCGUAAAGGGAGCGUAGGCGGACAUUUAAGUCAGGGGUGAAAUCCCAGAGCUCAACUCUGGAACUGCCUUUGAUACUGGGUGUCUUGAGUGUGAUAGAGGUAUGUGGAACUCCGAGUGUAGAGGUGAAAUUCGUAGAUAUUCGGAAGAACACCAGUGGCGAAGGCGACAUACUGGAUCAUUACUGACGCUGAGGCUCGAAAGCGUGGGGAGCAAACAGGAUUAGAUACCCCUGUAGUCCCUGUCUCUUAUACA
rnacentral:rRNA from 1 species